rnacentral:rRNA from 1 species
GUUAGGAAUAUUGGACAAUGGGCGAAAGCCUGAUCCAGCCAUGCCGCGUGAACGAUGAAGGCCUUCGGGUUGUAAAGUUCUUUAGCCGAUGAUUAUAAUGACUGUAGUCGGAAAAUAAGCCCCGGCUAACUUCGUGCCAGCAGCCGCGGUAAUACGAAGGGGGCGAGCGUUAUUCGGAAUCACUGGGCGUAAAGCGUGCGUAGGCGGUUUUGUAAGUUAGGAGUGAAAGCCCAGGGCUCAACCUUGGAAUUGCUCUUAAAACUGCAAGGCUCGAAGCUCGGAGAGGAUAGCGGAAUUUCCAGUGUAGCAGUGAAAUGCGUAGAUAUUGGAAGGAACACCAGUGGCGUAAGCGGCUAUCUGGACGAGUAUUGACGCUGAGGCACGAAAGCGUGGGGAUCAAACAGGAUUAGAAACCCUAGUAGUCC